rfam:Hordeum vulgare subsp. vulgare, WGS project CAJW01000000 data, contig: morex_contig_1580776
UAAAUACUCCCUUCGUUCCAAAAUUCUUGCCUUAGAUUUGUCUAGAUAUGAAUGUACCUAGUCACAUUUUAGUAUUUAGAUUCACCCAUUUCUUAACAAACCUAAGACAAGAAUUUUGGGGCGGAGGGAGUAACAG